rnacentral:rRNA from 1 species
AAUCAACGCUGGUGGCGUGCCUCAGACAUGCAAGUCGAACGAGAAAGUUUCCUUCGGGAGACGAGUACAGUGGCGUCCGGGUGAGUAACACGUGGGUAAUUUACCUUUGGUGGGGAUAGCAGCCGGAAACGGCUAUUAAUACCGCAUAAUGCAGCGGCUCGACAUCGAGACAGUUGUUAAAGCGGGGAUCUGACAAGGACCUCGCGCCUAAAGAGAAGCCUGCGUCAGAUUAGCUAGUUGUAGGGUAAUGGCCUACCAAGGCUGUGAUCUGUAGCCGGCCUGAGAGGGCGGUCGGCCACACUGACACUGACACACGGGUCAGACUCCUACGGGAGGCAGCAGUCGGGAAGUUUUGGGCAAUGGGCGAAAGCCUGACCCAGCAACGCCGCGUGAAGGAUGAAGUAUUUC